CUUAGAUUUUAAAAUUGUGAAGACCCUGGCGGAGUCUGUGCGCACUUAUGGCAUAGAUGCCGCUUUCACUCUCACUCAGGUGGAGGGACUUACUAGAUUUUGCAUGACUCCCUCAGAUUGGGCUAGUCUAGUCCACGCUUGUGUUUCCCCAGGGAAAUAUUAGGAGUCCAAAGUUGGCUGUUUAAUGUUUCUGGCAGUACCCAAGACUCAGAGCGAAGUAGGAGACUUAAAAUUACUUCACACAAUUCACAAUUGUUUAAUGCUACAUUACCCUCCACAGCAGUCUGUCUCCAAUCUCCGUUCCUGUUUCUUUUGGCUAAUGUUACAUUACAGGGGAUGCUUAAUUGUUCUAAUAUUACCUGUUAUUUGUCUGAGUGUUGGAAUGGCUCCUGGACUACGGCAGUGGUUAUGAAAAUUCCAACUUUUGUCCCGAUCCCGGUUACUGUGUAUCCAGAGUCAUUUCCUAUUGUUGAACUGAUUAGAGCCCGUAGAGAUUUUGGAAUUACGGCAGCCAUAGUGACAGCUGUGGCGGUGUCUGCUGCUGCAGCAGUUACAGCUGGAGUAGCCAUGGCCAGCCAGGUACAAACUGCUGCCACUAUUAAUCAG
rnacentral:lncRNA from 1 species